rnacentral:rRNA from 1 species
UGUGUGUUGUUGGGUAGGGGAGCGUUCUGUAAGCCUGUGAAGGUGGCCUGUGAGGGUUGCUGGAGGUAUCAGAAGUGCGAAUGCUGACAUAAGUAACGAUAAAGCGGGUGAAAAGCCCGCUCGCCGGAAGACCAAGGGUUCCUGUCCAACGUUAAUCGGGGCAGGGUGAGUCGACCCCUAAGGCGAGGCCGAAAGGCGUAGUCGAUGGGAAACGGGUUAAUAUUCCCGUACUUGGUGUUACUGCGAAGGGGGGACGGAGAAGGCUAUGUUGGCCGGGCGACGGUUGUCCCGGUUUAAGCGUGUAGGUGUGUGUUCCAGGUAAAUCCGGUUCACUUUAACACUGAGGCGUGACGACGAGGCACUACGGUGCUGAAGCAACAAAUGCCCUGCUUCCAGGAAAAGCCUCUAAGCAUCAGGUAACAUCAAAUCGUACCCCAAACCGACACAGGUGGUCAGGUAGAGAAUACCAAGGCGCUUGAGAGAACUCGGGUGAAGGAACUAGGCAAAAUGGUGCCGUAACUUCGGGAGAAGGCACGCUGACACGUAGGUGAAGUGAUUUACUCAUGGAGCUGAAGUCAGUCGAAGAUACCAGCUGGCUGCAACUGUUUAUUAAAAACACAGCACUGUGCAAACACGAAAGUGGACGUAUACGGUGUGACGCCUGCCCGGUGCCGGAAGGUUAAUUGAUGGGGUCAGCGCAAGCGAAGCUCCUGAUCGAAGCCCCGGUAAACGGCGGCCGUAACUAUAACGGUCCUAAGGUAGCGAAAUUCCUUGUCGGGUAAGUUCCGACCUGCACGAAUGGCGUAAUGAUGGCCAGGCUGUCUCCACCCGAGACUCAGUGAAAUUGAACUCGCUGUGAAGAUGCAGUGUACCCGCGGCAAGACGGAAAGACCCCGUGAACCUUUACUAUAGCUUGACACUGAACAUUGAGCCUUGAUGUGUAGGAUAGGUGGGAGGCUUUGAAGCGUGGACGCCAGUCUGCGUGGAGCCGACCUUGAAAUACCACCCUUUAAUGUUUGAUGUUCUAACGUGGACCCGUGAUCCGGGUUGCGGACAGUGUCUGGUGGGUAGUUUGACUGGGGCGGUCUCCUCCUAAAGAGUAACGGAGGAGCACGAAGGUUGGCUAAUCCUGGUCGGACAUCAGGAGGUUAGUGCAAUGGCAUAAGCCAGCUUGACUGCGAGCGUGACGGCGCGAGCAGGUGCGAAAGCAGGUCAUAGUGAUCCGGUGGUUCUGAAUGGAAGGGCCAUCGCUCAACGGAUAAAAGGUACUCCGGGGAUAACAGGCUGAUACCGCCCAAGAGUUCAUAUCGACGGCGGUGUUUGGCACCUCGAUGUCGGCUCAUCACAUCCUGGGGCUGAAGUAGGUCCCAAGGGUAUGGCUGUUCGCCAUUUAAAGUGGUACGCGAGCUGGGUUUAGAACGUCGUGAGACAGUUCGGUCCCUAUCUGCCGUGGGCGCUGGAGAACUGAGGGGGGCUGCUCCUAGUACGAGAGGACCGGAGUGGACGCAUCACUGGUGUUCGGGUUGUCAUGCCAAUGGCACUGCCCGGUAGCUAAAUGCGGAAGAGAUAAGUGCUGAAAGCAUCUAAGCACGAAACUUGCCCCGAG